GCAUCAGCGACGAAGCCUGGGAUCCACUCUGGGCCUGGCAGAAACCGGACAGCGGCUCCGGAGUAUGUGCGAGUGGCUCCAGAUGCCAGACUAUGUUUAAACUUUUGGUUCUGCUCAGCAUUCUGCCUGCUAUUACUUUUGCAUUUCCUCCUUGCUCAAGAAGACCCCGAGAGUCUACACAUGCAGGAAAAGACGUCUUUACAUCGAAAGAAGAAGCCAGUGUCUUCAUACAUAGACGUCUCCUCCACAAUAGAUUUGACUUGGAACUCUUCACUCCUGGAGAUCUGGAAAGAGAGUGUAAUGAGGAACUGUGCAACUAUGAAGAAGCUAGGGAGAUCUUUGGGGAUGAAGACAAGACGAUGGCAUUUUGGCAGGAUUAUUCAGUUCAAGGCCCGAACACAAGAUCAGAUGCUGAGAGAGAGAAGAUCGAUGUUAUGGGACUUCUGACUGGACUAAUUGCAGCUGGAGUGUUCUUGGUUAUCACUGGAUUACUUGGUUACCAUCUCUGCAUCACCAAAUGCACAAGACGAAGACAGCCGUGUUCCUCAGCUGUCUAUAUAAGAGCUGGUCGACAUCAUCCUACUAUUAUCUUUAGCAGACAAGAGGAAUCUGCCUUGACCCAGUCACCUCUUCCCUUGGAGGACUCAGGACUGCCUUCUUAUGAACAAGCUGUGGCAUUGACUAGAAAAUAUGACGUUCCCCCUCCUCCAUAUCCUGGACCAGCAAAAGGGUUUAAGGUGUUUAAAAAGUCUAUGUCGCUCCCUUCUCACUAAAUCCAAUAUCAAUGUAGACAUGGAUGUUUAUUCAAAGAAGGCGCCAUGACUUGGUUCUCCAGUACUUUCAAGUGCUGGCCAUUUCACUUCUGUAAAGGUAUUAAGAAACACAUGGCAAUAAUGAUGACUGUCCAUUUGCUCCAGAUAUCCUGACUUUUAUCUCUGACAUCAGAAUAAUGAGUGAAUUGGCUUCAUUUUUGUGUGCAGCUAGGAGGCAGGCACUGAUUUAGAUGUAGGAGUCUCCAGAUCACCAGCCCAGCUCGUUAGGCAAAAACUCACUAAUUAUAAUGUUCUGAAGGAAGAGUAACAUACCCACCAUCACAGAAAGGGUUCUGGACUGGUUGUGUUGAGAACUGAAUUAUGUAAUACAAGAAUUUCUUUUGCUCUAAGUCUUCUUGAGUCAAGAUACUAGUAUUUUCUCCUCUGUUUAUUUUAACUCUCCAGCAAAGGAGACUUUGUAAAAAAGCUUUUAAACGCCAUGAUAAAUCAGUGGCCUUUAAAACAUAAAGAGAAUCCUGAUGAUUAUUCUAUAUGAAAUAGCACAUGAUGUUGCUUCUAGGUAUUUGUACUUAGAGAUUAUAUCAGCUAUACAUUAGUGGGGAGAAGGAAAGGACACCUUUUUUCUUCUGAUCAAAUGGCUUGCUGCCAUUAAAACUUAGACGGCAGGGGUGUAGUGACACAAGGUUGCAGAUUUGUUAGCUCUGCUAUAAUUCUAGUUCUUUUCUACAACCAAAAAAAAAAGCCUCUAUGACCCAGAAUCUCUAGAUUCUGUAUGAAUCUGCUUGUCCCAUGAGGAAAUAGAUAGAUUCUGUCAACAUGACUAUAUGCUUGGUUCAUAUGGGAUUACUCAGGUUGGGAGUUUUAUUCUAGCUCACAAUUAAUAGUUUAAUCCAGAAGGGAUAAUUUAUUUAUCCUCUUAUCAUCUCUGUUCUGGUUAAAGAUGUGUACAAUUUUGUCACCAGUGACCCUUUGCAUCUCUGUGAUAUGUUUUCUCAGGCAUUAAGGCACACUUAAAAUGAUCAUUCAACCCAGAUUCCCUACAAUCCUCCCUUCUAUUGUCAUUAUUUCUUUAAAGACUUAAAGGAACUUGAAUUCUCUAUAUAUAGAUGUAUAGAUGUACAUAUUUUCCCCCUGUGGGGUGAGGUCAAAUAAUAGUAUAUCCCUGAGAUGGGAAAUAGAAGAUUCUAUUCCUUAUAUAAUUGUCAGUUAUUUCUUUAUUUUUUUGUUUUAUAUGAUAAUUUACAGAGUUUUUUUUUUAAUGGGGGGAGGCUGCAGUCCAUGUCAAUUUGGUGGUGAAUGCUAAACCAAAGUAGUACUGUUGGUUCCCUACCCCUGUAUAUAAAUCACACAUAAGUUGGAGGGUUUUGUAUUCUUGGAUAAUAAGAUCUUAUUUAAUAUAGGCAAAAAAUAAGAUCUUUGCCAUUCUAAACUUUGUAAGGUUUUGUACUCUAGGCAUCUUUUUCAGAGUCCCUUCCAUUGUAUGGCCUACUUGUCACUAACCUGCUCACAGAAUGUCAGAGGUAGAUGUCUUGCAUUCUCAUUGGACAGAGGAGGAAACCAAGACCCAUAGAGGGGAAAGCACCUGCCUAACAUCAUCCGACUCAUAAGUGGCAGAACCAGGAACUUCACAUUUAAUUUGAGAAAAGUAGUCUUUUUCUUUAUGCUACACAUUAUUAUCUAACAAAAAGUACCAGAAAUAAUUAUGUACUAAUUUUACAUACCUUUUCUUGCAUUAGCUUAAAGACUUUUUGUAAAACUUAUUUCUCUCCCACAACCUCAGUUUUUUGCCUUUGACAGUAGAUAAGCUAAUACAACAGAUGUCCUGCAGGGAGACCAAAAUCUCCCAGGGAGUUUGUAGCAGGACUGAAAUAGAAGCUUUUCUCCAAGCCCCCACCUUGCUCACAAGAUCACACAUUACCUAAUGGUAUGUUAGUGACAAUGUGUCCGUAUUUGAAAUUGAUAAUUAAAAGGUGCCUUUCCCUUAAGUGACAGUAGGAAUUUUUCUUCUCAAAUUUUUAUGAGUCCUGCCCACUGACACAUAAGCUCUUAGUCCAAAUUAGCUUCAGAGCCUCUAACUCUCUCCCUGCUGUAUACAGUUGGCACUUAUCAUUUAUCAUAAAACUUCAGUAUGAAAUAAUCUCUGAUUUAUUCUCAGAGGAACUGUGAAAUCCAUGGUGUUUGUAGAGUAUCUCUACAGUUCAUGAUAAGAGGGAAGACCCUAAUUGACAAAUGGCUAUAUUAAAUGCAAUAUUUCAAUAGUAACUUAUUUUUAAAAUUUCACCCUAUUGCUUAUUUUUAUUCCUUUUUGUUGUUGGUUAAUAUUAACUAUGAGAUCUCCAUUGUUUUAAAAUGCUAUCUCAUAGAGCUCCAUUGAGCACAAAAUUUCACAAAUAAUUAGAUAGGACUGGGGUUUUUUGUUUUGUUUUCAUUUUUAUUAGAGGUUGGAUGGAAUGAAGGCUUUAUAUCAGUCUGAUUGGAAAGAGGCUGAUAAAUCUUAGCGGCAUGAUAGUUUCAGUGUAAUGAUUCUACCUGGCCAAGCAAGUCCAGGAGAUAAGUGAUUCACUUUCAGAAAGAAAAACUCUUUUAAAAAAAAAGAAUUCCAUUUGCGUUAUAUUGGUUCUUUCCAGCUGUUUGUAAAUUUCUAAUACACAGUAUAAGAAACUCAAGCUUAUUUAGAAAAGUUUAAAUGAAUAACUGUUGUAUCAUCAUUUGUUAUUGUGAUCUAAACUACCAAUGUAUAUGGGGAUGGGGGUAGGAGGCAGCAUAGGAGCUGGGAGGAUCUUGUCCCUUACUUGGGGCUCCUUCAGCCUGUCUUGUCUUUGAAAAUUGCAACAAUGUAUUCCCCUCCAAUAAAUUAUGAGUGUGUAUGCUUUUUAUGUAUGUAGAAAAUUAAAUUGUUUAUGAUUCUAGGUGCCACACCAGCAGAACUAGAAAGAGUAACUCCUUGAAUUGUUCCCCAAAACUUGUUUCCAGAAUUCCGUUCCAGCUCAUUCUUGCAUUUUUGACAUGGGGCAUUAGUUUCUAGGAUAAGGAAGAUGAAAGAAAAACUCUUUUCCAUGAUUGUUUUUACAUCUUCAUUGAAGACGAACUCCUCUAUCGUACCAAGCCAUUAACUGGAUAUGAAACAACUUAGAAAUAUGUGUUUAUUUGUGUAUAUAUAUGUGUGUAUAAAACUAUGUAUACAUAUGACAUGCACAAUUGAUUCAUCUUCUGAGGGGUGUUUGUCAUUUCUGUGGAUAAAAAUUCUUCAUGAUAUUUAGCUAAGUUAGAUGGUAUGAUCUAGAUGCUGCUGGACGAAUGGGCCAAAGCCUAUCUCUUUUGGGCACUAACUCAAUCAGUCAAAUAAUAUUGUAAGUGCCCAUCAUGUACAAAACCUUGGAACAGAUUGUUCUGUUGGAUGAUGGAACUUCCAUUAUAACAGGCAGUGACUAAACUAGCAUAACAUGGAAUAGUAGGGAUAAAGACUGGACCUGUGAUUUCACUGAUGAGAGAGAACUCUCACGUGAGGAAAAACAGGAAACAAUGAGUUUACAAAAAUGGAUAACAGGGUGAGCUAAGACUUACAAUGAAUUUAAAAAUUUUCCAAAUGGUUUAUUUAAAAAAAUAUGACCCAAAAUGUUACCAAUUUUAUCUUCUAGAGAUUGUGGGUACUACAUAUUCAGAUACUUUAAUGAGGGUAUUGAGUAAUGCCCAUAUUACAGGUCAGUCAUGUCAAUAAGAAAACUGAAGACUGACCUUAAUUAUUGACUACCUCUCUGUUCCCAGGGGAGUCAAUUAUUCCUCUGGCAGGAUUUUGUUCCUACUUCUCAGUGCAUCUAUUAGAAGAGAAAACCUAGGAUGGGGGGAAGGGGAGGGACUGAGGAUGGAAAAGCUUAGCUUUCAGUGUGAUAAUUAUUUUCAGUUUUUUAAAGACAGAGGCUUCCACUGCUGGACCUUUCUCAAAACCAGCCUCAUGUUCUAAAGACUUCAUUCCGGAGGAGGAGGGGGGAGAAGAUUUAAAUAUCAUGUGCUUAAAAAUAAAACUUGCAAAAUGGUGACAAAUCACAAAAUCAACUGUUAGUAAAACAUUUUAGUUCUGAACUCAUUUAGAAUGGAUCCAUUUGCCAUGUUUUCUAUUCAGUUGCAUUUUGAAAGUCUGUAUUUCUACGUGAGUGUAACUUGAUACUAUAGAAAUUCAAUUUUUAUACUUUUUUCUAAUGUAAUGAUAUGCUGUGCUGUGUGCUUCCCUCAGAAAUUUCUGAUCAUUUUUAAAUGUUUCUCUUUGGUUAUGUAAGGCAGUCUGCCCAAUGUGUACUGGUAUUUUUAUCCACUAGAAUAAUCAACUUUUUUAAAAGCGUGCCUUCCCUCAAGUUUUCAUUGUAUCAUAAAUCAUCCUUUCUUAUUGUGUACAUUUUUGUACCUGUAUAAUAAACUUGGUUUGU